UAUAUUAAUACUGCAAGAGAUAUAGGUAUUGCGUGUUGAAAUAUGCAAUUGAACAUUGACAGACUUAUGACGGGACGUCAUUUUACAAAGAGGGGGAGUAUGUGACAGGUCUGAGUUUUAUCAGGGUUAUUCUGUGUUUGGUAAAUAUAUUAGUUUUUAGCCUCGUUCUGAAUGGUUCUAUUUUUAAUUCUUGAUUUUCAUUGGUCGUGGCAUCGUUUCCGCCUAAGCUGAGUUUAGUUCAAGUUUUUGGAGGGGUCUAGAUGUGUUUGACAUCUUUUGGAUGUUUUAUUUUUGUUUCUGUUGAAAAGGUUAAGUGUAUUGUCAAAUGGAUUAAUUGUAUAGAGUUUUACUGAUAGUCACAGUGUGAGGAGGCGGUUGAAAGAGUUUAUGCAGGUGUUAUUUAUAAUUGUGGACAGUGCCAUACACUGGUCACCUUGUUGUUAAUCACCUUGUAACUUACGUUUGGAGUAUUGGAGAGGAGUAGAUCUAGUUUAUAAGGUGGAAUGGACAUUGAUGUAAAAUAUAU